rnacentral:lncRNA from 1 species
GCAAAACCGCCCAUAUCGGCGACCAAACUCGGCGAUCGCCGAAUUGGUCGCCGUUUUUGGUCUGAAAAUCGGCCAAAUUCGGCGCCCGCCGAAUUUAACGCUCGUAGUGCAAAUUUGAAACAGGAAUUUCGGCGACCAACUCGGCGGUCGCCGUUUAGGUCGCCGAAUUUUGACUGCUGCGCGCGACGUUUUUGUUUCGGCCAUAACUUUCUCGUCCGAACUCCGAUUUAUGAUCCGUUUGCGCUCACGAACUCGUAUCGAGACGAUCUACAACUUCUAUUUCAGAACAUUGUUCCAAAUUCGAACUCAAUAAAUCUGCAAAUUCCUUCAAAGUUCGAGUAAG